rnacentral:rRNA from 1 species
UGAUCAUGGCUCAGAUUGAACGCUGGCGGCAGGCCUAACACAUGCAAGUCGAGCGGUAACACAGAGAGCUUGCUCUCGGGUGACGAGCGGCGGACGGGUGAGUAAUGUCUGGGAAACUGCCUGAUGGAGGGGGAUAACUACUGGAAACGGUAGCUAAUACCGCAUAACGUCGCAAGACCAAAGUGGGGGACCUUCGGGCCUCAUGCCAUCAGAUGUGCCCAGAUGGGAUUAGCUAGUAGGUGGGGUAAUGGCUCACCUAGGCGACGAUCCCUAGCUGGUCUGAGAGGAUGACCAGCCACACUGGAACUGAGACACGGUCCAGACUCCUACGGGAGGCAGCAGUGGGGAAUAUUGCACAAUGGGCGCAAGCCUGAUGCAGCCAUGCCGCGUGUAUGAAGAAGGCCUUCGGGUUGUAAAGUACUUUCAGCGAGGAGGAAGGCGUUAAGGUUAAUAACCUUGGCGAUUGACGUUACUCGCAGAAGAAGCACCGGCUAACUCCGUGCCAGCCGCCAGCGUUCAAU